AAGCUGCUAGGUGGAUGACUUGGCUCAAGAGCUGAAGAAGGACGUGACAAGCUGCGAUAAGCUCCGGCGAGCCGCAUGUGGGCAUUGAACCGGAGAUUUCCGAAUAGGACUUCCUGUCCCUUCAGGGACGCUCCUUCGGGAGCGGGAACGCGGGGAAUUGAAACGUCUUAGUACCCGCAGGAGAAGAAACCAAUAGGGAUGCUGUCAGUAACAGCGAGUGAACGCAGCACAGGGCAAACUGAAUCCUCCGCUGAAAGGCGGGGGAGAUGUGGUGUUGCAUAGGGCCGUCUUACGGUCCCUCCUUUGGAAACCCGAAGUCCGCUGAAAAGCGACGCGUUACAGGGUGAUAGCCCCGUAGGGGUAACUGAAGAGGGUCCUGACGAGUCCCUGAGUACCGCCUCUCGGGUAUGAGGCGCGAAUCUGGGGAACAUCAAUCUCCAACCCUAAAUACUCCUUGAGUCCGAUAGCGCAUAGUACUGUGAAGGAACGUUGAAAAGCAUCCUUACCGGGAAGUGAAAAGACCCUGAAACCUAGCAGCCAUGGAUAGUCACGGCAUUUCGGUGUUGUGACGUCCGUUUUGGAUAACGUGCCAGGGAGUGUAUCUCAGUGGCGAGGAUAACCUAUGUAGGGGCAUCCGAAGGGAAACCGACAAGCCCGCAGCUCGCGAGGGGCGGGGUGUGAAAGCGCCCGGAGUCACUGGAAUACGAUUUGAAGCUGAGCGAUCUAUCCCUCGCCAGGGUGAAACGGGGGUAAAACCCCGUGGAGGCCCGAAGAGGUCCUGUGAACAAGCGCUCUCUUGAGCGAGGAAUAGGAGUAAAAUGCCAAUCGAGCCCAGCAAUAGCUAGUUCCUGUCGAAAAUUGCCGCAGUAAUGUCUCGGAGGAGGUAGCUGGCGCGGUAGAGAUACGGAUAGGGGGUUUAGGAGGGGAAACCCUUCGGCUCUCUGUCCAACUCCGAAUGCGUCAGCGCCGACGAUUCCGGGAGAGCGGGGCGCGGGGUAAGCCGGUGCUCCGAGAGGGGAACAACCCUGACCAUGGUUAAGGUCCCUAAAUGCCGCUUCAGUGUGAAAGGCCUAAGGGUGUUUAUUUCCAUAGACAGCAAGGAGGUUGGCUUAGAAGCAGCAACCCUACAAUGAGUGCGUAACAGCUCACUUGUCAAGGAAGUAGGCCCCCACAAUGGACGGGGCUAAAGCGGUUACCGAGACCAUGGACCAUCUACGGAUGUGUGGUAGGCAGGCGUGCUGGCAGGGCAGAAGCCUUUCCGAAAGGUUGGGUGGACCUGCUAGCAAUGAUAAUCCUGGCGGUAGUAGGAACAGAGCAUGGUGAGAAUCCAUGCCGCCGAAUGGGCAAGGGUUCCUCUGACAAUGCAAAUCAGUCGAGGGUAAGUUGGUCCUAACCGCAUUCCUAACGGUCGUGCGGGAAAGGGCGACCGGUUAAUAUUCCGGUACCAUCCUGGUAUUCGGCAACGAAAGGCGGUCCUCCGACGCAUCCGGCUAGGUGCACCCAGCCUGUCAGCUGGGUCAAAUGCGGCGCAUCCGUGGAGUGUCGUAAUGGCGAGAAGCGGAUGAAUUGUAUGAUGAGCCCCCGCAAGGGGGUUGCGCUGAUGCCCGGUGCCCAUGAAAAGGGGGACAGCAAAGAUCUAGGAUGACCAUACCGAGCACCGGCACAGGUGCCCCUAGCUGAAGAAGCUAAGGCGUGAUGGCAUAAUCCGGGUUAGGGAAUUCGGCAAAUUGGCCCUGUAACUUCGGUUUAAAGGGUCCCUGCGCUUGUAUCCGUAUGGAUGCGAGUACAGGGUGCAAUGACAAGGCGGGUCCGUCUGUUUAACAAAAACGUUGCCUUCCGCUACCCUGUAAAGGUGUGUAUGGAAGGUGAAGCCUGCCCACUGCUCGUACUUCAAACCCUCUUCCAAGGGGGCUAAGAGCGGGUAAAGGGCGGGAGUAACUAUAACUCUCUUAAGGUAGCAAAAUACCUUGUCGUUUGAAUGACGACGUGCAUGAAUGGCUUAACGAGAUUCGCACUGUCCCAAUCCGGAAGCCUCCGAACACACCCUUCUGGUGUGAAGGCCAGAGAAUUCCAGUGGGAAGUGAAGACCCCGUGAAACUUUACUAUAGCCUGUUGCAGCGACGUGGAAAGUGCUGUGUAGUGUAGGUGGGAGUUGCUGAAACGUGAUCGCUAGAUUACGUCUAGACAUCGAUGAAACACCACUCUGUACGGUCUAUGCCGCUCACUCGCGGGAUUAGCCCUGCGAGGACGCCAGCAGGUGGAUAGUUUGGCUGGGGUGGCACGCUGUUGAAAAGAUAUCAAUAGCGCCCAAAGGUCGGCUCACGCGGGUUGGUAAUCCGCGGUGGAGUGCAAGAGCAUAAGCCGGCCUGACUGGAUCCUUCACGUCGACGGAUCCAGGGCGGAAACGCGGGUCUAGCGAACCUCAAUGUCCUCUUUGAUGGGGGCUUGAGAUGACGGAAAAGUUACUCCGGGGAUAACAGAGUUGUCUCGUCCGAGAGUUCACAUCGACGACGAGGCUUGCUACAUCGACGUCGGCUCUUCCUAUCCUGGCGGUGCAGAAGCCGCCAAGGGUGGGGGUGUUCACCCAUUAAAAGGGAUCGUGAGCUGGGUUCAGAACGCUGUGAGGCAGUUUGUUUAAUAUCUACUGGGAUUGUAGGAUGUCUGAGGGGAAGGAACCUUUAGUACGAGAGGAACAAGGUUUCGGGGCCUCUUGUUCACCGGCUGUCCGACAGGGCAGGCCGGGCAGCUACGCCCUAAGGGAUAAGAGCUGAAAGCAUCUAAGCUCGAAACCUCCCUUGAAAAGAGACAUCCCAGGACGCCCCUAAAACAGGGGUUCGAUGGAAGCGGGAUGUAAGCACGAAGCUUCGGCGACGUGUUCAGUCCGCGCUCCCCAACAGUCCGUAACUUUUGG
rnacentral:rRNA from 1 species